rnacentral:tRNA from 1 species
AUACUGAAAGUAUUAUACCACGUACAGCUGCCUUCCAAGCAGAAAGGCCUAUCGGUCAGUAUA